rnacentral:rRNA from 1 species
GAUGAACGCUGGCGGCGUGCCUAAUACAUGCAAGUCGAGCGAACAGACGAGGAGCUUGCUCCUCUGACGUUAGCGGCGGACGGGUGAGUAACACGUGGAUAACCUACCUAUAAGACUGGGAUAACUUCGGGAAACCGGAGCUAAUACCGGAUAAUAUAUUGAACCGCAUGGUUCAAUAGUGAAAGACGGUUUUGCUGUCACUUAUAGAUGGAUCCGCGCCGCAUUAGCUAGUUGGUAAGGUAACGGCUUACCAAGGCAACGAUGCGUAGACGACCUGAGAGGGUUAUCGGCCACAACGGAACUGUGAAACGGUCCAGAAUCCUACGGGAGGCAGCAGUAGGGAAUCUUCCGGAAUGGGCGAAAGCUUGACGGAGCAACGCCGCGUGAGUGAUGAAGGUCUUCGGAUCGGAAAACUCUGUUAUUAGGGAAGAACAAAUGUGUAAGUAACUAUGCACGUCUUGACGGUACCUAAUCAGAAAGCCACGGCUAACUACGUG